CUUUUCAUGGAGCUGUGGGGUAAUUAAUCACCAUGCCACUGAUUACACACGUGUCGAUUCGCUAAACAAAACAAAUCAGCGUUGUUCUCCCAUCGCCCCCUCCUCAGACUAGUGCUGCCACCUACGGAUUGGGCACUGUCGGCCCCAAUCUCCGGCGAAAAUGGAUGCUGAGACUGCAACCGCCGUCGCCGCGUUCCAUGCCGCGCCGGGGCUGCAGGCACUGGGCUGCGCUGCCGCAGCUAGCCGAGACGCGCAGUGCCGCUGCUUGUGGUCGGUCGUAGGGGCGACAGGGCUGCCGCGCUGGUGCUGCAAGCGCCGCCGCCGCGCUGGUCAGUAGCAGGGGCUCCGUCUUCUAUCCUUUGCAGGUCUCCAGCAUCUUCUCCAUUGACUCGCGCAAAGUAACCAUAGCUUAUUCCUCCCCAAAUCUGAGCAGAAAAAGAAAUCAAAAUCAAGAAUAAGAAAGGAAGGCGAGUAUCCACAACACGCCUACCCGGUGAGAGUCUGGAGCGUUGCUCCUCCAAGGCUCCGACCUCAUGUGCGACUUCACACUUGUGCAGGCGGCAUUCCAGGUGCCACCACAUGCUUGGUUGUCCUGGUCUUGCGCUGUCGCAGGUCUUGACCAUCAAUUCAGGCAAGCUGUGACUGUGUGAUGUUCUUAUAGGUCCAUCUAUCUGUCGAUUUCAUCGAUUUCGUCACCGAUUCCUUCAAAAAUUAGGCAAGCUACGACCGUCUCUCUCUGAAUCGAGACGUCAAUUCCGACGGCGAUGCAGAUCCCACGUCGAAGGUUGGAGCGACCGAGUGGGGUAGGCCAUUGGGUGGGACGAAAAUAGGGUAGCAGGGUGACGGGAGGCUUGGGGUGGUCGGCGGUGGUCACAGAGGCGAGCUCCGGCGAGAGGGUCGGACAUGGC
rnacentral:lncRNA from 1 species